UGGGGAAUAUUGGACAAUGGGCGAAAGCCUGAUCCAGCAAUGCCGCGUGAGUGAUGAAGGCCUUAGGGUUGUAAAGCUCUUUUACCAGGGAUGAUAAUGACAGUACCUGGAGAAUAAGCUCCGGCUAACUCCGUGCCAGCAGCCGCGGUAAUACGGAGGGAGCUAGCGUUGUUCGGAAUUACUGGGCGUAAAGCGCGCGUAGGCGGUUUUUUAAGUCAGAGGUGAAAGCCCAGUGCUCAACACUGGAACUGCCUUUGAAACUGGAAAACUUGAAUCUUGGAGAGGUCAGUGGAAUUCCGAGUGUAGAGGUGAAAUUCGUAGAUAUUCGGAAGAACACCAGUGGCGAAGGCGACUGACUGGACAAGUAUUGACGCUGAGGUGCGAAAGCGUGGGGAGCGAAACAGGAUUAGAUACCCUGGUAGUCCACGCCGUAAACGAUGAUAACUAGCUGUCCGGGUUCAGUAGAAC
rnacentral:rRNA from 1 species